GACGAACGCUGGCGGCGUGCUUAACACAUGCAAGUCGAACGGAAAGGCCCUGCUUUUGUGGGGUGCUCGAGUGGCGAACGGGUGAGUAACACGUGAGUAACCUGCCCUUGACUUUGGGAUAACUUCAGGAAACUGGGGCUAAUACCGGAUAGGAGCUCCUGCUGCAUGGUGGGGGUUGGAAAGUUUCGGCGGUUGGGGAUGGACUCGCGGCUUAUCAGCUUGUUGGUGGGGUAGUGGCUUACCAAGGCUUUGACGGGUAGCCGGCAUGAGAGGGUGACCGGCCACAUUGGGACUAAGAGACGGCCCAGACUGCUACGGGAGACAGCAGUGGGGAAUCUUGCACAAUGAGCGGAAGCCUGAUGCAGAAACGCCGCGUGCGGGAUGACGGCCUUCGGGUUGUAAACCGCUUUCGCCUGUGACGAAGCGUGAGUGACGGUAAUGGGUAAAGAAGCACCGGCUAACUACGUG
rnacentral:rRNA from 1 species